UGGGGAAUAUUGGACAAUGGGCGCAAGCCUGAUCCAGCCAUGCCGCGUGAGUGAUGAAGGCCCUAGGGUUGAAAAGCUCUUUCACCGGUGAAGAUAAUGACGGUAACCGGAGAAGAAGCCCCGGCUAACUUCGUGCCAGCAGCCGCGGUAAUACGAAGGGGGCUAGCGUUGUUCGGAUUUACUGGGCGUAAAGCGCACGUAGGCGGACUUUUAAGUCAGGGGUGAAAUCCCGGGGCUCAACCCCGGAACUGCCUUUGAUACUGGAAGUCUUGAGUAUGGUAGAGGUGAGUGGAAUUCCGAGUGUAGAGGUGAAAUUCGUAGAUAUUCGGAGGAACACCAGUGGCGAAGGCGGCUCACUGGACCAUUACUGACGCUGAGGUGCGAAAGCGUGGGGAGCAAACAGG
rnacentral:rRNA from 1 species